AUGAAUCUAGUGUUGAUCGUGCAGCUUUUGUGGAGUUUGUGCUUGGCUUGUCAGGAUAUAUUUUCUCUGAGGAAUAAUAGGGAUCUUCAUGCCCCGGAUUUUCUAUUGUUCUUUGUUAUAAUUGAUUGGGUCAUGGCGAUUCACAUGUUCUCUGGAUUCUGUGCCUCUGCCAGCGUGACGAUUUUCUUCAUGAAGGAUAUGAACUUCUGCGCGGAAUACCGACAUCUGGACUGCAAUCAGUUCACACUUUCAGUCACUCUGGCGUUCUUUACAUGGUUGUUGCAAGCUGCGUCUUCUUUCUCUGGGUUCUGGCUACUGAUUUCAUUCUUCUAG
rnacentral:rRNA from 1 species